rnacentral:rRNA from 1 species
AGUGAACGCUGGCGGCAGGCCUAAUACAUGCAAGUCGAACGGCAGCACAGCAGAGCUUGCUCUGUGGGUGGCGAGUGGCGGACGGGUGAGGAAUACAUGGGAAUCUGCCCAGUCGUGGGGGAUAACGUAGGGAAACUUACGCUAAUACCGCAUGCGCCCUUCGGGGAAAGCCGGGGACCUUCGGGCCUGGCGCGAUUGGAUGAGCCCAUGUCGGAUUAGCUAGUUGGCGGGGUAAUGGCCCACCAAGGCGACGAUCCGUAGCUGGUCUGAGAGGAUGAUCAGCCACACUGGAACUGAGACACGGUCCAGACUCCUACGGGAGGCAGCAGUAGGGAAUAUUGGACAAUGGGCGCAAGCCUGAUCCAGCCAAGCCGCGUGAGUGAAGAAGGCCCUCGGGUGUAAAGCUCUUUGUCCGGAAAGAAAAGCGCCGGGUUAAUACCCUAGUGUCCUGACGGUACCGGAAGAAUAAGCACCGGCUAACUUCGUGCCAGCAGCCGCGGUAAU